rnacentral:rRNA from 1 species
UACGAAGGGGGCUAGCGUUGUUCGGAAUUACUGGGCGUAAAGCGCACGUAGGCGGCUUUGUAAGUUGGGGGUGAAAUCCCGAGGCUCAACCUCGGAACUGCCUUCAAGACUGCAGGGCUUGAGGUCGGGAGAGGUGAGUGGAAGUCCCAGUGUAGAGGUGAAAUUCGUAGAGAUUGGGAAGAACACCAGUGGCGAAGGCGGCUCACUGGCCCGUAACUGACGCUGAGGUGCGAAAGCGUGGGGAGCAAACAGG